rnacentral:rRNA from 1 species
UACAGAGGGUGCGAGCGUUGUUCGGAAUUACUGGGCGUAAAGCGCGCGUAGGCGGCUUUGCAAGUCGAGUGUGAAAUCCCCAGGCUUAACCUGGGAACUGCAUUCGAGACUGCAUAGCUAGAGUAUGGGAGAGGGAAGUGGAAUUUCAGGCGUAGCGGUGAAAUGCGUAGAUAUCUGAAGGAACAUCAGUGGCGAAAGCGGCUUCCUGGUCCAGCACCGACGUUCAGGCACGAAAGCGUGGGGAGCAAACAGG